GCCGGAGUGGUGGAAUGGGUAGACGCAGGGGACUCAAAAUCCCCCGGGGUUCGUCCCCGUGCGAGUUCGAGUCUCGCCUCCGGCACCA
rnacentral:tRNA from 1 species